CAAAGAUUAAGCCAUGCAUGUCUAAGUACUAGCAUUAAUACUGUGAAACUGCGAAUGGCUCAUUAAAUCAGUUAUGAUCUACUUGGCAUUCUAACUGCUUUGCUGCUGGAUAACCGCGGUAAUUCUGGAGCUAAUACAUGUGUAUAUAACGGUCGACGCCGUUGCGUAUAUUAGAUAAAAACCAACCUGGGGUAAAACCUGGUCUUUGGUCGCUCAUAGUAUCCUUGCCGGUCUUCAGUUUAAUCUGGAGCCAGUUCAUUCGAUUUUCUGCCCUAUCAUUGCUUUUGAUUGCACGAUCGAGGCGUGCAAUGGCUUCUACGGGUAACGGGGAAUAAGGGUUCGAUUCCGGAGAGGGAGCCUGAGAAACGGCUACCACAUCCAAGGAAGGCAGCAGGCGCGCAAAUUACCCAAUCCCGACACGGGGAGGUAGUGACAAUAAAUAACAAUGCAGGGCUUCUUAGUCUUGCAAUUGGAAUGAGUACAAUUUAAAUCCUUUAACGAGGAUCAAUUGGAGGGCAAGUCUGGUGCCAGCAGCCGCGGUAAUUCCAGCUCCAAUAGCGUAUACUAAAGUUGUUGCAGUUAAAACGCCCGCAGUCGAAUUUUAGUCUGUAGGUUGCCAUAUCAGCAUUCAUUUGUUGAUGUUGGUCUAUCUGGGACUUUUGACUGGAUCUCUCUUGACUUCGGUCUUGAGGUCGAACCAGUUGAUUACCAUGAGCAAAUCAGAGUGUUUAAAGCAGGCUUUUUAGCUUGAAUGUGUUAGCAUGGAAUAAUGAAAUAUGAUCUUUGGUCUAUUUUCGUUGGUUCAAGGCCAAAAUAAUGAUGAAUAGGAGUGGUCGGGGGCAUUUGUAUUUGGGCGCUAGAGGUGAAAUUCUUGGAUUGCCCAAAGACAAACUACUGCGAAAGCAUUUGCCAAGGACGCUUCCGUUGAUCAGGGGCUAAGGUUAGGGGAUCGAAGACGAUUAGAUACCGUCGUAGUCUUAACAGCAAACUAUGCCGACUAGGGAUUGGACUUGGCUCUUAUGGCUUGUCCAGCACCUUAGCGAAAGCAAAGUUUUUGGGUUCUGGGGGGAGUACGGGACGCAAGGCUGAAACUUAAAGGAAUUGACGGAAGGGCACCACCAGGAGUGGAGCCUGCGGCU
rnacentral:rRNA from 2 species